rnacentral:rRNA from 1 species
UACGGGGGGGGCAAGCGUUGUUCGGAAUUACUGGGCGUAAAGGGCUCGUAGGUGGCCAACUAAGUCAGACGUGAAAUCCCUCAGCUUAACUGGGGAACUGCGUCUGAUACUGGAUGGCUUGAGAUUGGGAGAGGGAUGCGGAAUUCCAGGUGUAGCGGUGAAAUGCGUAGAUAUCUGGAGGAACACCGGUGGCGAAGGCAGCCUUCUGGGCCAACACUGACGCUCAUGCACGAAAGCGUGGGGAGCAAACAGG